rnacentral:tRNA from 1 species
GGUCCCGUAGCUCAGUUGGAUAGAGCACCAGAUUCCUAAUCUGGGGGCCGCAGGUUCGAAUCCUGCCGGGAUCACCA